rnacentral:rRNA from 1 species
UAGGGGAGGAAGGUAGUGUAGUUAACACCUGCAUUAUUUGACGUUACCUACAGAAGAAGCACCGGCUAACUCCGUGCCAGCAGCCGCGGUAAUACGGAGGGUGCGAGCGUUAAUCGGAAUUACUGGGCGUAAAGCGCAUGCAGGCGGCCUGUUAAGUCAGAUGUGAAAGACCCGGGGCUUAACCUCGGAAUUGCAUUUGAAACUGGCAGGCUAGAGUCUUGUAGAGGGGGGUAGGAAUUUCAGGUGUAGCGGUGAAAUGCGUAGAGAUCUGAAGGAAUACCAGUGGCGAAGGCGGCCCCCUGGACAAAGACUGACGCUCAGAUGCGAAAGCGUGGGGAGCAAACAGGAUUAGAUACCCUGGUAG